rnacentral:rRNA from 1 species
CCUACGGGCGGCAGCAGUGAGGAAUAUUGGUCAAUGGGCGCGAGCCUGAACCAGCCAAGUCGCGUGAAGGAUGACUGCCCUACGGAUUGUAAACUUCUUUUGUCGAGGAGUAACAUGCGCCACGUGUGCCGUUUUGUGUGUACUCUAUGAAUAAGCAUCGGCUAACUCCGUGCCAGCAGCCGCUGUAAUACGGAGGAUCCGAGCGUUAUCCGGGUUUAUUGGGUUUAAAGGGAGUGUAGGUGGGAAGUUAAGUCAGUUGUGAAAGUUUGGGGCUCAACCUUUUCAUUGCAUUUGAAACUGGUUGUCUUGAGUACAGGAGAGGUAGGCGGAAUUCGUGGUGUAGCGGUGAAAUGCAUAGAUAUCACGAAGAACUCCGAUUGCGAAGGCAGCAUAC